UUGACACGCCAGGCAAAGGACUGCCCUGUAACCAGGGUGUAAGGUCUUAUCCCUCUCCUUCGUAAACUAGGAGAGCCUCUUUGUGCCUGUGGCUGAGUGACCCCCCUUUAAGAAGGGUUGAGGUUCUCGUUCUGCUGGUCACAGUAAAUUGCACUCGAAUGAUUUCUACUUGGCUUUUCUGGGUUCUGAAGUGAAAUCUGAUUUGUGUCCUAUGUAUUUCCUGUCCGGGUCACAUGUCACCUGGUGUGGCGAAGGGGCGGCUGUAAGGGGAUGGUGGAGGCCGUGAAAAAUUCAACCCUUUCUUCAAAAAAGCCAAGAAAUCACCAAAGUCCAAAGUGAGCUCCCUCUAACUAGGGUGCAGGUCUUUCCCCAGAUUACACUCCCCUUUGAAAGGUAGUUCUAGAAACCAGCCUCUUGAGAGAGUUAAGGGUUUGCCCUUGUAGCUGUCCUGUGCCCGUGGCCUCCUCACGCUCUCAGCCAAGUCAAAGCCCAGCGUAUUCUGCAUCCAGCCGGCUCUGAGUUCUGCUGCAAGCUCUCCUGCCUUCUGCUACGGAUUGGUGCCGAAACCCAGGAAUUGGGCAACUCAAAGGACAAAAGGAAGACGACGACAGAAGCACCAAAGAAACUGCAGGAAAAGAGAAGAGAAGAAAAGGCCAGUCAAAAACCACGCACACAUUGCAGACGUGGCCCUCCCGGUGGCAUUUACACUUGUCCACGUAGGCUUAAUGCCCCCUGAGGCGCCAGGGAAAAGGACCUCUCUGUAAACGGGGAUCAAGGUCCACUCCUUGCCAAGAGAAAUGCUUUCUGGGCCCAUUCCGCACCUGCGGCUGAGUGACCGCCCUUUAAGAAGGGUUGAGGUCUCUGUGGAUUUCGGCUCUUUAGGACCGCGCCUUUAACAUGCCCUGUGCCACUGACCUCUCCCUGUAAGAAGGGUGCGGGUCUCCCCUUUCGAGCUUGUCUUGGGCCGCUGGCACUUGCUGGGCAAAGAGACCACCCUCUACUGAGGGAACGGAGGUCUCUCCUCUUCAGCGCUCUUGGCUCUGGCCCAUUGAAAUGUCCCUGGCUUAAGGACCACCCUGUAAGGAGGGUUUGGGUCUCCUUCGCCAGCCUUAUUUAGCCACAGGUCCCCUUGACAUGCCCGGCAAAAUGACUGCCCUGUAACCGGGGUGUAAGGUCUUAUCCCUCUCGUUCGUAAACAGGAGAGCCUCUUUGUGCCUGUGGCUGAGUGACCCCCCCUCUAAGAAGGGUCGAGGUCUCGGUGGAUUUCAGCUCUUUAGGACCGCGCCUUUAACAUGCCCUGUGCCACUGACCUCUCCCUGUAAGAAGGGUGCGGGUCUCCCCUUUCGAGCUUGUCUUGGGCCGCUGGCACUUGCUGGGCAAAGAGACCACCCUCUACUGAGGGAACGGAGGUCUCUCCUCUUCAGCGCUCUUGGCUCUGGCCCAUUGAAAUGUCCCUGGCUUAAGGACCGCCCUGUAAGGAGGGUUUGGGUCUCCUUCGCCAUGCUUCGUUAGCCACAGGUCACUUUGACACGCCGGGCAAAAGGACUGCCCUGUAACCAGGGUGUAAGGUCUUAUCCCUCUCCUUCGUAAACUAGGAGAGCCUCUUUGUGCCUGUGGCUGAGUGACCCCCCUUUAAGAAGGGUUGAGGUUCUCGUUCUGUUAGUCGCAGUAAAUUCCCCUAGAAUGAUUUCUGUUUGGCUUUUUUGGGCUUUGACGUGAAAUCUGGUUUGUGACCCAUGUAUUUCUUCUCCGGGUCACAUGUAACCUGGUGUGGCGAAGGGGCGGCUGUAAGGGGAUGGUGGAGGCCGUGGAAAAUUCGACCCUUCUUUCCCAGAGAGCCAAGAAAUCGUCCCCAAAUCCAUAUGUCACAAAGUCUGGAACUGAACAGGUGAGGAAGGGGGCUCCUUUCAGAGCCUCACUUCCAGGCGAUCCUUCCUCAUUUCCUCUUGCCCUGCCCAAUUUACACUGCCCAGUCAACCUCAGCUUUGAGCCCUUGUUUUAUUCGGCACAAGAAAGACAUUGCUGGACGGACUAGUGUGAAUCGUAUAGAGUCGGAGAGCUCUGCAAGUUGUGUCCGAAUUCCAGGCCUUUUGUUUCUUUGGUGAUAGACCGAGGCUAUUCCUAGGGCUAUGUUUGAAGUGAGGGAUGUGGCUGUCCUUUCGGAAAUGUGGUGAUGCUCAGCUGGUGUAGGUACGUGGAGUGGUAUUCAGAGCUUGCACGUGGGUGCACCUAACCCUAUUAACAGGACUGUGUCCAAGUAAGGGGUGUCCUUUUUGGUCAAGGUUAGGGGGCACAAAGUUGAAAUUUUCUUGGUGGGGGAGAAAGGUAAGUCGGGAAGGGUGUUGCCGAGGGAUGGAGGAUUUAAUGGUAAUGGGAGACUCAGCGGGAUUCCUCCCUCACCUGUUCAUUUCCAGAUGUUUUCACAUGGGGGACUUCCCCCGACCCCGUGCUUCUUUAAAGGAGGAAUAUGUUUCUAAAGAAAGGGUGACCGCCCUGUACUCAGGGAUCAGGUCUGUUUCCCUUUUCUCCUCUCUGCAUUGGCCCUCUGAAUGCCAAAGUCACUUGCUGGGCAAAGAGACCCCCCUCUACCGAGGGAAUGGAGGUCUCUCCUUGUCCGCCCGCUUGGCUACGGCCCUCUGUCAUGCCCCUGGCUUAAGGACCACCCUGUAAGGAGGGUUUGGGUCUCCUUCGCCAUGCUUAUGUAGCCACAGGUCACUUUGACACGCCGGGCAAAAGGACUGCCCUGUAACCAGGCUGCAAGGUCUUAUCCCUCUCAUUCUUAAACUAGGAGAGCCUUUCUUCUUGCCUGUGGCUGAGUGACCCCCCCUCUAAGAAGGGUCGAGGUCUCUCUGGCUCUCUCUUAUUUAGGACCCAGGCUUUACAAUGCCCUGUGCCAUUGACCUCUCCCUGUAAGGAGGGUGCAGGUCUCCCCUUUCGAGCUUGUCUUGGGCCGCUGGCACUUGCUGGGCAAAGAGACCACCCUCUACUGAGGGAAUGGAGGUCUCUCCUCGUCAGCGCUCUUAGGCUCUGGCCCAUUGAAAUGUCCCUGGCUUAAGGACCACCCUGUAAGGAGGGUUUGGGUCUCCUUCGCCAUGCUUAGUUAGCCACAGGUCACUUUGACACGCCAGGCAAAGGACUGCCCUGUAACCAGGGUGUAAGGUCUUAUCCCUCUCCUUCGUAAACUAGGAGAGCCUCUUUGUGCCUGUGGCUGAGUGACCCCCCUUUAAGAAGGGUUGAGGUUCUCGUUCUGUUAGUCGCAGUAAAUUCCCCUAGAAUGAUUUCUGUUUGGCUUUUUUGGGCUUUGACGUGAAAUCUGGUUUGUGACCCAUGUAUUUCUUCUCCGGGUCACAUGUAACCUGGUGUGGCGAAGGGGCGGCUGUAAGGGGAUGGUGGAGGCCGUGGAAAAUUCGACCCUUCUUUCCCAGAGAGCCAAGAAAUCGUCCCCAAAUCCAUAUGUCACAAAGUCUGGAACUGAACAGGUGAGGAAGGGGGCUCCUUUCAGAGCCUCACUUCCAGGCGAUCCUUCCUCAUUUCCUCUUGCCCUGCCCAAUUUACACUGCCCAGUCAACCUCAGCUUUGAGCCCUUGUUUUAUUCGGCACAAGAAAGACAUUGCUGGACGGACUAGUGUGAAUCGUAUAGAGUCGGAGAGCUCUGCAAGUUGUGUCCGAAUUCCAGGCCUUUUGUUUCUUUGGUGAUAGACCGAGGCUAUUCCUAGGGCUAUGUUUGAAGUGAGGGAUGUGGCUGUCCUUUCGGAAAUGUGGUGAUGCUCAGCUGGUGUAGGUACGUGGAGUGGUAUUCAGAGCUUGCACGUGGGUGCACCUAACCCUAUUAACAGGACUGUGUCCAAGUAAGGGGUGUCCUUUUUGGUCAAGGUUAGGGGGCACAAAGUUGAAAUUUUCUUGGUGGGGGAGAAAGGUAAGUCGGGAAGGGUGUUGCCGAGGGAUGGAGGAUUUAAUGGUAAUGGGAGACUCAGCGGGAUUCCUCCCUCACCUGUUCAUUUCCAGAUGUUUUCACAUGGGGGACUUCCCCCGACCCCGUGCUUCUUUAAAGGAGGAAUAUGUUUCUAAAGAAAGGGUGACCGCCCUGUACUCAGGGAUCAGGUCUGUUUCCCUUUUCUCCUCUCUGCAUUGGCCCUCUGAAUGCCAAAGUCACUUGCUGGGCAAAGAGACCCCCCUCUACCGAGGGAAUGGAGGUCUCUCCUUGUCCGCCCGCUUGGCUACGGCCCUCUGUCAUGCCCCUGGCUUAAGGACCACCCUGUAAGGAGGGUUUGGGUCUCCUUCGCCAUGCUUAUGUAGCCACAGGUCACUUUGACACGCCGGGCAAAAGGACUGCCCUGUAACCAGGCUGCAAGGUCUUAUCCCUCUCAUUCUUAAACUAGGAGAGCCUUUCUUCUUGCCUGUGGCUGAGUGACCCCCCCUCUAAGAAGGGUCGAGGUCUCUCUGGCUCUCUCUUAUUUAGGACCCAGGCUUUACAAUGCCCUGUGCCAUUGACCUCUCCCUGUAAGGAGGGUGCAGGUCUCCCCUUUCGAGCUUGUCUUGGGCCGCUGGCACUUGCUGGGCAAAGAGACCACCCUCUACUGAGGGAAUGGAGGUCUCUCCUCGUCAGCGCUCUUAGGCUCUGGCCCAUUGAAAUGUCCCUGGCUUAAGGACCACCCUGUAAGGAGGGUUUGGGUCUCCUUCGCCAUGCUUAGUUAGCCACAGGUCACUUUGACACGCCAGGCAAAAGGACUGCCCUGUAACCAGGGUGUAAGGUCUUAUCCCUCUCCUUCGUAAACUAGGAGAGCCUCUUUGUGCCUGUGGCUGAGUGACCCCCCUUUAAGAAGGGUUGAGGUUCUCGUUCUGCUGGUCACAGUAAAUUGCACUCGAAUGAUUUCUACUUGGCUUUUCUGGGUUCUGAAGUGAAAUCUGAUUUGUGUCCUAUGUAUUUCCUGUCCGGGUCACAUGUCACCUGGUGUGGCGAAGGGGCGGCUGUAAGGGGAUGGUGGAGGCCGUGAAAAAUUCAACCCUUUCUUCAAAAAAGCCAAGAAAUCACCAAAGUCCAAAGUGAGCUCCCUCUAACUAGGGUGCAGGUCUUUCCCCAGAUUACACUCCCCUUUGAAAGGUAGUUCUAGAAACCAGCCUCUUGAGAGAGUUAAGGGUUUGCCCUUGUAGCUGUCCUGUGCCCGUGGCCUCCUCACGCUCUCAGCCAAGUCAAAGCCCAGCGUAUUCUGCAUCCAGCCGGCUCUGAGUUCUGCUGCAAGCUCUCCUGCCUUCUGCUACGGAUUGGUGCCGAAACCCAGGAAUUGGGCAACUCAAAGGACAAAAGGAAGACGACGACAGAAGCACCAAAGAAACUGCAGGAAAAGAGAAGAGAAGAAAAGGCCAGUCAAAAACCACGCACACAUUGCAGACGUGGCCCUCCCGGUGGCAUUUACACUUGUCCACGUAGGCUUAAUGCCCCCUGAGGCGCCAGGGAAAAGGACCUCUCUGUAAACGGGGAUCAAGGUCCACUCCUUGCCAAGAGAAAUGCUUUCUGGGCCCAUUCCGCACCUGCGGCUGAGUGACCGCCCUUUAAGAAGGGUUGAGGUCUCUGUGGAUUUCGGCUCUUUAGGACCGCGCCUUUAACAUGCCCUGUGCCACUGACCUCUCCCUGUAAGAAGGGUGCGGGUCUCCCCUUUCGAGCUUGUCUUGGGCCGCUGGCACUUGCUGGGCAAAGAGACCACCCUCUACUGAGGGAACGGAGGUCUCUCCUCUUCAGCGCUCUUGGCUCUGGCCCAUUGAAAUGUCCCUGGCUUAAGGACCACCCUGUAAGGAGGGUUUGGGUCUCCUUCGCCAGCCUUAUUUAGCCACAGGUCCCCUUGACAUGCCCGGCAAAAUGACUGCCCUGUAACCGGGGUGUAAGGUCUUAUCCCUCUCGUUCGUAAACAGGAGAGCCUCUUUGUGCCUGUGGCUGAGUGACCCCCCCUCUAAGAAGGGUCGAGGUCUCGGUGGAUUUCAGCUCUUUAGGACCGCGCCUUUAACAUGCCCUGUGCCACUGACCUCUCCCUGUAAGAAGGGUGCGGGUCUCCCCUUUCGAGCUUGUCUUGGGCCGCUGGCACUUGCUGGGCAAAGAGACCACCCUCUACUGAGGGAACGGAGGUCUCUCCUCUUCAGCGCUCUUGGCUCUGGCCCAUUGAAAUGUCCCUGGCUUAAGGACCGCCCUGUAAGGAGGGUUUGGGUCUCCUUCGCCAUGCUUCGUUAGCCACAGGUCACUUUGACACGCCG